UGCCCGCAACCGCAAACGCUAGCUGGAACCAGCUUUUGAAUUUAUGAGGUUCAGAGCGAUUUGGAGCGGUUUGAAGCGGUUUGGAGCGAUUUGAGUGAUUGUUGCAAAACGCCAACAACCGCUACCAACCGCAAAAACUGCGUUUGCGGGUGGUAGCGGGAAAACCAGUCAUACCCUAAGUGUCAAGUAAAAUUAAUUAUCUUAAUUAAUACAUAGUUGGCCAUUUCCGUGCAUCAUUAGUUGCUAAGUAGUAAAUAUCCGAUUUUCACUUCGUGUGCAGACAUCAAAUACACCCUAAUGUAUAUUGUUUUCUAUGCAAAGAACAUUAUCACUAAAGUUCAGUGCUCGAUGAUCAAUGAAAGAAGAUUGAUCAGUGAAAGAUUACAAAAUGUACGUAGUAUUAAGGUUUUGGUAGAUCCGAUAAAAAGCUUAUUUGUGCCAUUAAGUCAUAUAUUCCCCAUUUAUGUCUUCCUUUGUUAAUGGGGAAUCGUUUACCUAAAGUUUGUAAAUCUGUUUAUAAAAUUAGCAAAAUCAUAUAGAAAUUUAAUAAGUUUACACUUAUUUUUAUGCAAACCAGCUUCCAUUGAAACUUUAACAUGCAAACCUUCCGUUGAAACUUUCAUCCCUUUUUUCAUGAUCCGUCAAGAGCUUGUAUUAUACAACCAAUAUUAUUGAAAUGAGGACAACCAAACUUGAAACACAUCUCUUGAUCUAUGAGGUUUUUUACCUUAUCGUCUCCCAACCCAACGUUAAGUAUACACUGAUGAUCGGUUAGAAGAAGAGAUGUAUACAUCAGUGGCCAUUCAUAGUACUGAGUACUAGAUCCAUUGUAUCUGCUUUUGAAGAACAAUAUAGGCUCGUUAUGCCAUUUUAUUGACAAAACAUCUGAACUGGAUUUUUCAAUGGGUUAGGUUUAAAGGCUCUGUAGUUGAGACAUUGGCUUCAUGCGACCGGAUGCGGUAUUCUCAAACUCGUUGUUGCCAAGAGACAAAAAAUGAAGACUAUUCGGAACAUGCACUUUUACGAUAACAAUUUAAAUAUUAACAAAUAUGAUUUGUGGCUUUAGGUACGUACAAGUGACCGAAAAAUAAUUACAAUCAACUAGAAUAGUGCUAAAUUUAUUUUAUGUAAAAUAUUAUUAAAUUUUAAUAUGCUUGUGUGAUUUGGUAUGUCACUUAAAAGUAACCUCUGGCCAUAUGUAUACUUCAGAAGAAACCGUUAGAACAUCACUAGUGAGGAGCUCUCAAAGACUCUCACCAUUAAAAUAAAGAAAGAGAGAAAAUAGAUAGAGUUCUUUUACGGAGGGACUUCUUUUAAAUUUUGCGAGAUUCAUUCUACAUGUAGCAAUCAAUUAGUGUACCAGCACUUGUAAAAAAUUAAGAAAACAAUUAUGUAAUUGAAAUAAUAAUAUUUUUCCUUUAUAGAGAAAUUCAGCGCUCUUAUAAUCUCUUUGGACUCUUUGUCAAAAAGGAAAAAAAACUGUAAUUGGGCUUUCCAAAAUACCGUUGUGUCUUAUAUAGCAAAAUUUGAUAAUCAUAGGAUUAACUCAAAAGAGACACUCCAAAUGGUAAAUAAAUAGGUCAACAAAAACCACAAUUUUCAACACCAACACAAGUAACAUGCACAUGAUCCCACCCUGAUAACGUUAGAUAAAUAUAUAAUAUCCUCCAAAGAUUAUUUGAAAAUGUACACAAAAUGUAUGUCUAAAUUUAUGCAAAAAAUAUUAAAAUUUUUAGAAUUAGUUUUAGCCCUUCAAAAUUUCAUAUCCAAACUUGUUUGUAGCUAAGCUGUGUUAAUUUUUUUUAUUAAAGAAUAUGUUUACAUUAGUGAAUCAAUACGAAAUAAAGUAAAUAAAUUAAGAACAUGAUGAAAAAGAAGUUUGUCGGUGUAAAGUAUUAUGUGUAAAGUAUUAUUUUGUCACAUAAACAAAGAAUAAGAAUAUAACAAUUAUCAACAGCCCCAAUUCCCUCAUGCAAUAUUUGUCACAAAUUUCUAGAAGAGUUUACAUGAGAAACUAUAGCAACUAUAGCUUACAUUUUAUAUAACCAAUUAAUAGAAUUAACAAGAACAAAUUUAUGUUGAUUCUAGUUCAACCCUUAGCAACUAUAGCUUACAUUUUAUAUAACCAAUUAAUAGAUUUAACAGUCAACACUAGAGUUGAACUAGAAUCAACAUGGUAGAAUGAAUAUUUACACAUUAACUGUGAUCAAUGUUGAAAAUGUACAUAUGUAAACACUAAGGCGUGACAAAUGCUUGAUAUAUAAUACUAAUGAUUUUAUUGGUCAUCUAUGCAGAUAUUUCGAGGGCCAGCUAGCUUCAAUAUCAGAAGUCGAUGAUCAACUUGAUGUGGAGACGUUACCGAAGCUGCUAAGAAUAUUCUUGGUUUUUCUAUCUAUCCUUAUGUUUGGUUUAUGCAUUCAACUUCUUGCUUGAUUGCUUUUCCACAGGUUUGAACCAAUAAAACCUUGCGCCUGUCUUCCACCUCUUCGUGAUCGACGAGCUGAGAGACUCGACUACCUCGGUGUCUCUUUUGGUCUUACUUUGGAUCUUUUCUGUUUCUCGAAAAAAACAUAAAUUUUCUCCAUUCUACAUCAGUCAGCUACCAGUUGAGAAUAAUCUCUAUUCCUUCUACUGAAUGUCUUAACUGUGGCUUGUAUAGUAGCUAGUAUUAACACAAUUUCUAUAUUUGGUAGGAUCAGAGUGCUGUGACUGGUGAGCACACAUGUAUGCUACUGAAACCAUAAAACAACGAUGUGUUUGAAGCUAAUGAGUUAGAUGAAUUGGGCUUCUUUGCUCCCUUCUACAAAGGUAAUAACCAAACUUUUCUGUAUCUUCCAAGUAUGCCAUGUUCUUGGUUUUAAUGGUUACGCCACUUCUGCUUUCUUGUUCAGAUCAUUUCAGGGUAAGGUUCUCUAAGCUGUUUGAGUGAUAAAUUCAAGAAGAUGGAUUAUAAACUUGCAAUGAGGUUAACACUAACCCUUUUCUUGUUCCAUGCCAAUCUUCUGCUUUCUGAGAACAUUGGGCUUGCAAAGAUAGAUGCUGCUAGGAUGGUUUCUGCACGCACACGUUCAUGGUUCCUACAAGCUUGGGUAGCUUCCUAUUCCUUCUUCUAGUUAACUUAGAUGGAUGAUCAGAAUCAAACACUAAAGUAUACUUUGUAAACUCUAUGUUACGGCAGGCUCUGGAAAUACAGGGAAAACAUUCUGAAUCGGUGGCAGAACUAUCGAAAAUAUGUCGCAUUCAUGACAAUAUUUCCUCCUGAGGAGUUCUCUGUAUGUGUUCUCUCUCGUUCUUUUCAAGUUUUCACCAUCCAGUCUCUGCUUCACUUUCCCAUUGUUUUCACUAAACUUCCUCUGCAGAUGGAAAUGAUGGCAAGAGGGCUGGAGAAACUCAUGAAGCUGGAAGAGAGAUAGUCUCUAAUGAGAACGUUUGUUGGAAUGUGUUGCAGUGAAGAGAGUCAGAGAAGUGCUGCUGAAGCUCUUGGUUUGAUUCCCUCGUAGUUAAACUUCUUCUACGCCAUUUUUUUUUCAACUUCUUAGUGACAAUUUAAAACAACCCUUUUCAUACACUUGUGUCCUAAUCAACUUAACACAGUGAUUUUUAAUCAGAUGACAGAAGUUAUAGAAACAAUUUUUAGUCCUAGUAUAGUGUCUUGACGUUACUCUUUGAAGAACAAAAGCCUACAAGAUUAUGUAUAAUUAUGAUAUUGUAACUAAUUCAUGUGAAUCAAAAAGAUCUGUCAUAAGUUUGUGUACAUUCGAAUUGUCUUCCAUGAAUCAGCAGAUCCAUCUCCAUCAACUUAAAUACAUUCCCUACUCACCAUCUCUUUAAAAAGCGUUUGAAGCCAUGAAUGAAUCCAAUAUGCAAGAACCACAAAGAAGAAAAUCAAGCUUGUCUAUGAGGUGCAUUAGCUGUUCCUGAAGACCUCAAUAGAGGUUGAAUCCACCUUCCCUCGGUUGGAAGAAGUAAGUUAUGUUGGCAAAACUACCACAUUACUUCUACGUUCUUCUGAACAUUAACAAAUACAUACACAAAUAUCUGACUAAUAUAAUUGGCUGCAGAGAAUGCUUGGACCUCACAAUGUAUCAGUAAACGAAGAUCUCAGGGAAGCAGCAAAACAAGUCGAGAGUUUCAUCCUGAGCUGCUUGAACAAUUUGCUAUUGGUGGCAAAGAAGCUGAUGCUUUGGAAAAGUCUAAGAUCUCUUCAAGUGGAGGAUCAUCACUUCAUCAGUAUAGAGACUACUACCAAAUCUUCUGAUUACAAGGUAAAGCAAAGUGGUUUUGAUAAAUCUGCUAAAAAGAGAGGCGACAAUAAGCAAUAUUCCAUAUCCCACAAGAAGACAAGAGCCUGAUGUAGAGCUAAUGUGUAACGUUUCGAAAUUGAUUGAUCUGGUUAUUAGUGUAAAAGGCUUAAAGCAUCGAUUGAAAUCGGUUCAAUCGUAAACCAUAUAAUUGGUUUUGGUACAAGAUGUUUUUUUGCGUUACCAUUUUAAUUUAGUUACACGUGUCACAGGAGGAGGUAGUAAGUUGGGAACUAAAGUCCCACAUCGAGGACACGGAGAAUAUAUUGCUACUUUAUGUAUGUCUAGAAAGCAUGAGAGGUCACGACCUUACUUGAACAGGAUCUGUUCUAUAGGAAGUACCUCUGUGUCCUUGAUGUCUAAAUAGACAUGCCCUUAAACCCUGGUUGAUGAAAUGGCCGUGCGAUCGGAGUGUGAUUAACAGUUACGAUUGUCUUUGGACUCUCUGCACUGUAGAGGAUCGCUACCUAGUCUGGUCUUGACCUAGCUAGGGUGGUCGCACGGUUGUCUGACAGGUCCAUUUUUU